rnacentral:rRNA from 1 species
AUUGAACGCUGGCGGCAGGCCUAACACAUGCAAGUCGAGCGGAUGAAGGGAGCUUGCUCCUGGAUUCAGCGUCGGACGGGUGAGUAAUUCCUAGGAAUCUGCCUGGUAGUGGGGGAUAACGUCCGGAAACGGGCGCUAAUACCGCAUACGUCCUGAGGGAGAAAGUGGGGGAUCUUCGGACCUCACGCUAUCAGAUGAGCCUAGGUCGGAUUAGCUAGUUGGUGGGGUAAAGGCCUACCAAGGCGACGAUCCGUAACUGGUCUGAGAGGAUGAUCAGUCACACUGGAACUGAGACACGGUCCAGACUCCUACGGGAGGCAGCAGUGGGGAAUAUUGGACAAUGGGCGAAAGCCUGAUCCAGCCAUGCCGCGUGUGUGAAGAAGGUCUUCGGAUUGUAAAGCACUUUAAGUUGGGAGGAAGGGCAGUAAGUUAAUACCUUGCUGUUUUGACGUUACCAACAGAAUAAGCACCGGCUAACUUCGUG